CCAGUCCGCUCCUCUCAAACCGCGAAACACGUCCCGGCGCCCUCGAGGACGAGAAUCGCGAGUGGCCAGCUCUCUCUUUCUUUCCCUCUCCCUCUCUGUCUCUAUGUUUUUCCAUUGAUUCUUUUACAUAUUUUUUUCUUACUACAAUUAACCGUGAAAGUAUACCUGUGAAGAGUAAUUCUCGAAGGAGCUCCUGUAUCGCGCGUUCAUCCGUAUCUCCGGAAGUUGUCUCUUGGUAUCAUGAUCCUCUAUCGCUCGUACGGGCCCCCUCUCCCCCGACAAAGACGACGGCAACGAAAGGAUCACGACGACGAGCACGACGAUCCUGACGUUCCGUUCGUCGACGAGAUUCAGCGAAGCGUAGGGCCACCGUAAGUGCGUGUCGUACAGAGGAAGACAAUCUUGAGUCACCGGAACCGCCGUGUGCCACAGUAAUUAACGCGUCUUCGAAGUGCUAAUAUCUAUACACAUGUCUCCGUGUUUCGUUCGACGUCCCGAUUCAGUGUUCCCCUCGAAGAGGAGAAGAAACUUUCGAAAGAUCGUGGAUACCGUGACAGUCGUUUCUGCCGAAGCACAAUAGAUGCCUUUGUUCCAGAGGAAGUUGCAAGUAGGAAGACUUAUCGGAGAAGUGUUUCUGGAAGGAAGCUAUCAGGUUUGCAACUUCUCCGAUACGAAGUGUGCAACCUUCGGGGUUAAUUAGCCAUCCAACGGAUCGACCUUUUCGUUACGACCCCGUUGUGAAUGUUAGUGCCACUUCGUUAAUUGCAAACAAAUAGACCGUUAUCAACAUCGUCUUGCAAAUUGCAUACGACGAUCUGUUGGAAUCGUAGUUAGUCGGUUUGUCGAGACGUAAAUUUACUCUUCCGGUAGAUUGGUGGAAAUUAACCCGCGCGCGUGCAAGUUUCGAGUCGACGAGGGUACGUUACUCGAGGACACGACCACGGCUGUUCACUGAGUAUUAAUCGUUAACGAGUCACCGGCGGCUGGCUGUUCGUUAGCUACUUAUACUUCGGUCUUUGAAGGAAUUAAAGUUUCUGUCGGUGUUGAACGGUGUCUGAUAGCUGUCCCCGGCGAUUUUAACGAGAACUCGAGGCUCGUUUUACACAGGGACACGUAUCUUGUAUUCCGGUCGAUCUAUCGGUAAACGGCGAUCGAACCUCGAUUAAUUAAAAGUUUUCCACUCGCCCGCGAAAUUCCGUUGUUUUCUCGUUAUACGAAGCGUUCCGCUUGCGAAGAGGGUCGGAGGAUUUGUUCAGAGGCGAAGCCAAUAAAUGGAUCGAAGAUUCUUCCGCUGGAGUUUCUAUCGAAGAGGUAAACGCCGGAUCGAAUUGAACAUAGAUCUGGUAUAAGUUGAUGAAACGAAUCGUUCGGAAAUUCGGGGAGGAGAGGGAGAGGGGGAGAAGGAGGAAACUCUUGCUAGCCAUCCAAUUAAGCCGCCUACGAUGCGUUCGAAAGAAACUAAAAGAAAGAAAAAACAGAUCAAUUCGAAACCGACCGGUAUCGCCGCUUGCCGUCAAAAUAGCUAAACUUCGUUAACGAGAAACUCUGUUUCCUCGAUUCCCAAGCCGGGACCCGGGCUUUGUGGAACGACCGCCCGGAGAAUCAGCUUUCUUAAGCUUGAAAAGGGUAAACGUCGCCGCCAUCCUUUCGUGAGAUCCUAUUUACCCGAAGGAAUCCCCGGUACGCGGCUAAAAUUGCCUCUCCCCGAGCUUUACGUCAAUUAUCUUUCGAAGAUUGCCGGCGUGGAACGACGCGUAGAAGCGUUGCUCGUGCGAGUCGCGCGCGCGACCGACCGAGAGCCGACACAGACGCGCGCGCUCUGAAUUUUCCAGCUGAAUCUUGUCGACGGAUAAUCCGGACAUUUCCUUCCGUCCCUCGUUCGUUUCCGUUCGAAACGACUCCCUGGCGCGCCUUUAUAUCGAGAACGCAUUCUUAUUCCCGCCCCCACCCCCCAUCAAAGAGAAUCGCCCUUAUCACCUUUCUUCCUCUGCUCGUCGUUUCGUUGUUCGUCCGAUCGUACACGCACGUUCCAUAAUAUUCGACGUUUGUUAAAGGGGGGACAAACGUUCGCGACGCAUCGUUCAACGAACUGGUCGGAAAGAGGAUGGGAAAACGCACGAGACGCUGAACAAGGAAAACAUCGAGGGAGAAGCACGAAACUGUUUCGAACGUGGAGGAAUCGAUUGGCUACGAUCGAUAUCACGGAAGAGAAAGAAGCUUCGUUCUCUUCGUGGUGAAGCUCUUUCCGCUUGUCUCUCCAAGGAACGAUCCGUUAUGGGGCUUAUACGGGUUUAUACAUGGUGUAUUUAAUCGCGGAAUCAAGACGCUGAUUCAGUUUCUCGUUUAUCGCGUUAUUCUGGUGAAUGAUCGACCAUGGGAGAAGAGUAAACCGGAACACGGAUGUAUGCAGCCGGUUUCACGUGUUAAUUAAGGAUCAUCCAUUUACGGUGACUGCAGUGUUAGCGUUUUCUCUGUGCUAAGUAAACUGUUCCAAAUUGAACGUAUCCACGGAUGGGAGGACCGAUUAGCUCGGACUGAAUUAUUUUCGGGUUUAAUUGUGAGUCUCUUAAUUGGACCCUACGGAACGAUAAAUCCGUGUGGCAGAAGUAACGGCUGCAGGCUACCACACGGAAGGCUCUGUACGCUCAACGAAGCUGUAAACGCGUGUGUGGGAUUCCGACGUCAGAUUCUCCGAAAGAUGCGACGACUCGUUAAAGCCGUCUAGUCGAAGCGACGAAACCUUCCACGUCGCAAUCGUUCGAAUCCCAACAACUACAAUCGUAUUCCUGAAACGAACUAAGGAAACACAGAUAAUCAACGCAAAGAAACUCGCGAAGAAGACAGUUGAAGGAGGAUAGACAUCGUAAAUAUCCGUGUAUACAUCAACGGAUCUCUCGUUAGAUUUAAAAAAUGAGAGAUAAGACGAAAAUCGGGAGGAGGAAACGCGGCGUCGACGGAUCGACGACCUGAUAGGACCGGGUCUCUGAUUGAAAGAGCGCGCGAAGCUGGCUGCACGUGCCACGAAAAAUGAACGAAAGCGCGGUCUACCUGCUCGGAUCGGAAGAAGAGGCAAACGUAUCGAGUAAUCAAUUGAAUCGAAGUUUUUACAACGCGAGUUUUCCGCCCCAGAACCGUACCUACGAAGAUCUUUGGAACCUUGCCACCGAUAGGGCCGGUCUAGCGAUACUCCUGUUCCUGUUCUCGGUCGCCACCGUGUUCGGUAACACGCUGGUUAUUCUGGCGGUGGUGAGGGAGAGGUAUCUCCACACGGCGACCAAUUAUUUCGUCACGUCAUUGGCGUUUGCGGACUGUUUGGUCGGACUAGUGGUGAUGCCGUUCAGCGCGAUUUACGAGGUGCUGGAGAACCGUUGGCUGUUCACCACGGACUGGUGCGACGUCUGGCGUUCGCUGGACGUCCUCUUCUCGACCGCGUCGAUCUUAAAUCUCUGCGUUAUCAGCUUGGAUCGUUACUGGGCGAUCACCGAUCCGUUCACCUAUCCGAGCAAAAUGAGCAGGAAACGUGCCGCCAUCCUGAUAGCCAUCGUGUGGAUCUGCUCGAGCGCGAUCUCCUUUCCAGCCAUCGCGUGGUGGAGGGCUGUCCGUACGGAGGAAGUGCCAGAGGACAAGUGUCCGUUCACCGAGCACCUGGGUUAUCUGAUCUUCUCGUCGACCAUCAGUUUCUACUUACCCCUGUUCGUGAUGGUGUUCACCUAUUACAAGAUCUACCGGGCUGCCGUGUUCCAGACCAAGAGCCUCAAGCUCGGUACCAAACAAGUUAUAAUGGCCUCAGGUGAAUUGGAGCUCACUCUGAGGAUACAUCGAGGAGGCGGGACAAAUACCGACGCCAGGCACCUGUUUCGCACCGCUUCGAGCACGCCCGAAGAUCUUCAGGAUCUCGAAGAGCCUCUGACAACCAUGCACAACAACUGUUUAACCAGAGUGCCCUCGACAAGGAUCAAUAAGCAGCAUCGGGGAAACAAUUUCUCCUUGUCGCGCAAGCUGGCCAAGUUCGCCAAGGAGAAAAAGGCAGCCAAGACUUUGGGCAUCGUGAUGGGUGUCUUCAUCAUCUGUUGGCUGCCGUUCUUCGUUGUCAAUCUCUGGUCAGGCUUUUGCUCGCAGUGCAUAUGGAAAGAGAAAAUCGUAUUCGCCGCGGUCACAUGGUUGGGUUGGAUCAACAGCGGUAUGAAUCCGGUGAUAUACGCCUGCUGGAGCAGAGACUUUCGAAGAGCAUUCGUGAGGAUCCUGUGUGUCUGCUGCCCGGGGCGAGUAAGGCGGCGAUAUCAGCCGGCAUUCAGAUGUAAACCAAGUCAAAGAUUCGCAUCGGGAAGGUACUACUCCGCUUAUUCGCUCCACCACGUGCGAAGCAGCCGAGAGAGUUCGUGCGAGCAAACCUACAUUUAACGAUGGGAUAUCGCCGCGGUGUGGAUUGUCGUCAAUUGUUGGACACCUCCUCGAAACCUUUCUAGCUUCCUCCUUGUCCUUCCAUUCGUUACCAUCGAAGCAUCGUCCUCCCUGAGACAAAUCCUAACCCAGUAAUCGCCCGGAGACACUUGGUACAGAGAUUAUCGACGAAGGACUCUGUCACCAUCCCAUAUAACAUAGUCUCGUACGUUUCCGGAGCGAAUACCAGCGGCGAGGCGAGCCGCGUCAGCUACAGUAGCGUUAGUCAAAGCAGCGACGGUGGUGCUGGAACUAUACUACCCAGCGGCGGGAUGUGACGACACACGGGGGCCCGGUCUGGGCCUCGACGAGAACGCGCCAUCCGUUUCCGAGACACGUGAUUGUAGGUUCGCUUAUGGAUAGAUUUUUUCAUCAUUUUGUCUCGGAAGUACUCGUUUCAAAAGUAGAAUCGAGCCAAGAGACGAGGAUAGCCAAGACGACCGUUCACCGGCCCCCGUGUGUGCUUCCGAUAGGACAAACCGUGGAUCUCGUCGUGGAUAAGGAUAAGCGACGUGUUUCCGUUCCUCCUUAUCGUCGAGCUUCAUCGGUGACGAAAUGUGGACCACGAAGAAGCGUGCCGCGCGACCCGCAACAAUUUCCUGUAUAGAAAAAGCAACGGUAAUCUCGCGUUUUGUACCUCCGGCGAAACAUCUGGUGAAAAUUGAAUUGCGGGGAAGGACAGUACCGUAUAUCGAGUCAGAUGGCUCGUUACCGUUUUUACGUUCGGAUACCUUCGAUACUUUGUAGCCUUUUAACGAACCUCCGUACGCGGAAUCGUAAAUCGAGCAGCGGCGAUGCGCUAUUGGUUACACGGCGAGUUUAGCGUAUCUCCCCUCGAUUCCUCGAUUCCUCCAUCUUAAUGCACCAAGCAAAUCGUAUACCGUUCCCUUUCGAUACAAUUAAAUCCGUUACCGUUCCCUGGAGACCGUGAGCCGAAUUUCGAGAAAGAAAAUACACGAUAAUACACUUUGUUCCUGUGUGCGUUGCGCGUUUAGAAGACUGACGAUUGAACGUUUGGAAACGUUUAACGUAAUAUGGGAUUGAUAUACUUUGAAUUUCCAGGGACCGGCGAUCUCUCGUGUCGAUGCAUUGACAGGCGACUGUAUGAACGAAAAGUAUGCACAAAGUAAAAUAACGAGGAACGAAUAUUACCGCUCGAAGCUGCCUGUCGAUCAACAAAGAGAAAACAAAGGGAACACGUGAAAAAAAAAACAGAAUACUUGCGAAAAAUUAACAGCGUUCCCUCGGAAAAAAAUUGUAUUUUCCUGCGAAAAUUCAAUAUGCGCGUACCUACUGUACCGCUCUUCCAGUCACGUUGAUCGCUAAAUACACACACCCGAAUAGAUUCGGUGUGGUAACCACUGUCUAGAUUGAACGAAAGUUAAUUUAAAGUUUCCUCGACCGACACAAGACUGGCAAAAUCGAAAAGUAUUUUCCUCGAAUUGACGAACAAGAUUCUGCGAAACUAAACUGAUACCAAGGCCAAUGUAACUUAAUCGAUGAAUAAAAUAACAAAGUUAUAGUCUGGUUAAUGUUUUAAAAAAGCACGAUUUUAAAUUCACAAACGUUGAUCGCCAAUUUCAAAAAGUAAAGACAAAUCUGUUAAAUAGUUUGAUUCAGUUGGAGAUUAAUCGGCCGAAUUAAGCUCUGUAUACAUAUUGUUAAUUUAAAUACUCCGAAGUCGUUUCCUCCAUUCAUAAAACCUAUUCAACGUAAUACAUCGUAUCGGACAAUCUUUAUUCGAUAGACAGAUACCUCUACUUUCACUGGCGGAUAUUUUUGCAGAGCGAUUAUUUAUUUUACAAAGAUUAUCUUAACAUAGGCAUCCGUUGUUGUACAUAAAACGAUUAUCGUGCAAUUGUAAAUAUUAGAACACUGUGAAAUCAACUUAUGUGGAACGUAUAUAAUGUAUGAGAAACUGUAACAAUGCGUGUAUCGGUAGGAAUAUAUACAAACGUUUUCUCGGGUAAAAAAUAUAUUCAAUAUUAAUUCAAUAAUCCUAUCUCACUGAAGAAAAAAAAAAUUAACUACGAAGAAAAUCAGAUCGAACAUUCGCUAUUCAUGAAAAGUUAUGUCAUCUGCUUGUUUCAGCUGUGACAUAUUAACUCUUUGCAUGUAAAACUAAAAAUCUGAAUAUUGUACGAUACAAUAGAAAAAAGAAAAGAUUAAAAAAGUGUUAAUGUUAAAAUAAACAAAUGUUUUACCUCGGAUUUCAAACCAACGAAAACUAGUCUAGUCUUGUACCAUCCAAUAGUGAUUAUGCUGUUUUCUUGUAAAUCCAUUAAGUUCCGUUUUCGAAGCGACAUUUUAUAUUAUACUUAUUUUCAUUUAUAAACUUUCAAAAUCACGGUAUAAGAACAUCUGCUAACAUAAUCCCUUUUUCAUUUUCGAAGAUUCGUUCGCACGAAGAAAAUAGCGCGUAAUUGGUUGGCGUCUUAACAAGUCUAGUCAUUGUACAUACUGUACUGUAAGUUCGUUGAAGCUCGAAAAUUUAAUAAAAAAAAAAAAGAUGAAACAAAUAAUCAGAAAAGAAAAUCGUAAAUCCCGCUCUAAAAGUGUUUUUCACAGCCUUGAAUAGAGGGCGCUUUGUACAUAUUAGAAAUUUGAGCGUCAAAUUCAAACGCUAUUCGUAACUUUCUACUUGUAAAACUCACGUCAUUGAUUCAAGCAUAUACAUAUUCUUUGCCGUGUUAAAAGUGCAUGAAAUAAUAGCAAAUUCUUAAUUAAUCCGUAAUACUUUCAUUGGAAAACACUGUUUUCACAAAGUAUUUCUAUAUGUAUACGCAACUUUUGUUAUUCAAAAACUGGAUGCUACGUUUAAUAGUACACUAAAAGAACUUGCAUUUCACAAACUGUUACCAAAUCAUCAUACAUAUACGCAUGAACGAAGAGAUUGAACGAAUGUGAAUGCGUAUGCAUUACGCGUUAUAUUGUAUAGACUAAGAAUUCCCUGGCCUGUACACAUAAUAUAGAGAAUGUGAUGAAUCGUCGUCAUAUUUAAUUUUUAAGAGAUAGAUAACGUGCAUACUCGAAAAGUAUCAGUUCAUAUACACGAGUCACAUUAUCAAGACCACUUAAGUACCUUCGAAAAAAAUGUGUCUAUCAAUAUGCUGUCCUUUAUAAUAAAAUGGAAAUGAGAAAGA